UACGGAGGGAGCUAGCGUUGUUCGGAAUUACUGGGCGUAAAGCGCACGUAGGCGGCUUUGUAAGUUAGAGGUGAAAGCCUGGAGCUCAACUCCAGAAUUGCCUUUAAGACUGCAUCGCUUGAAUCCAGGAGAGGUGAGUGGAAUUCCGAGUGUAGAGGUGAAAUUCGUAGAUAUUCGGAAGAACACCAGUGGCGAAGGCGGCCAACUGGUCCGGUACUGACGCUGAGGUGCGAAAGCGUGGGGAGCAAACAGG
rnacentral:rRNA from 1 species